AUAACGGUCCUAAGGUAGCGAAAUUCCUUGUCAGGUAAGUUCUGACCCGCACGAAUGGCGUAACGACUUGAGAGCUGUCUCAACAACAUACCCGGCGAAAUUGAAGUACUGGUAAAGAUGCCAGUUACCCGUGAUAAGACGGAAAGACCCCAUGGAGCUUUACUGUAACUUGAUAUUGAAUUUUUGUAUUACAUGUACAGGAUAGGUGGGAGACAGAGAACCAAUGCCGCCAGGUGUUGGGGAGUCGAUGUUGGGAUACCACUCUUGUAAUAUGAAGGUUCUAACCUGCACCCGUGAAUCCGGGUGGGGGACACUGUCAGGUGGACAGUUUGACUGGGGCGGUCGCCUCCUAAAAGGUAACGGAGGCGUUCAAAGGUUGGUUCAGCACGGACGGAAAUCGUGCAACGAGUGCAAACGCAUAAACCAGCCUAACUGCGAGACCGACAAGUCGAGCAGUAACGAAAGUUGGAGUUAGUGAUCCGGCGGUAUGAGAGUGGAAUUGCCGUCGCUCAACGGAUAAAAGCUACCCUGGGGAUAACAGGCUGAUCUCCCCCAAGAGUCCACAUCGACGGGGAGGUUUGGCACCUCGAUGUCGGCUCAUCGCAUCCUGGAGCUGAAGUCGGUUCCAAGGGUUGGGCUGUUCGCCCAUUAAAGCGGUACGCGAGCUGGGUUCAGAACGUCGCGAGACAGUUCGGUCCCUAUCUAUCACGGGCGUAGGAAAUUUGAGGAGAGCUGACCUUAGUACGAGAGGACCGGGUUGGACGUACCGCUGGUGCACCUGUUGUUCUGCCAAGGGCAUAGCAGGGUAGCUAAGUACGGACGGGAUAAACGCUGAAGGCAUCUAAGCGUGAAGCCCCCUUCGAGAUAAGAUUUCCCAUAGCGUAGGCUAGUAAGGACCCAUGAAGACUACAUGGUUGAUAGGCCGGAGGUGGAAGUGCAGUAAUGUAUGCAGCUGACCGGUACUAAUAGUCCGAGGGCUUGACCAA
rnacentral:rRNA from 1 species